rnacentral:tRNA from 1 species
GUUGUGGCUCAGUGGUAUAGUGCUUGCCUAGCACAUGCGGGAUGCUGGGUUCAAUCCUCAGCACAACA